AUCUUGUGCAGCUGAUUUCCCUCCAAAACGCAGAUGGGUCCUGGUGUCUGAAUGAAGGUCUGGCCGUGGUUCUAGGUGUGAGUCUGGAAGAGAUUCUGGCUGCGCUCCCUCUCAAGGGCGCGGACACCUCGGGCUGGGCCACGGUCCUGGCAGUGCUCUGGCUGCAUGGCAACCGUGCGGACGUGAAGUGUGAGUGGGAGCUCCUGGAAAGGAAGGCUGUGGCCUGGCUUCACGCUCAUGCAGGCGCCCACACGCAUGAGCUUGUGAAGGCUGCUAUUGAUUUUCUGAAGUCCUCUGUUGAUCCUGCCGUUUUUGCCCCAUGAGCAUACCCAUCAGCAAUGCAAGUGCCUCUUUUCACGCUACUGUUUUCUCCUUUACACUUUCUUCUGCUGGAAUGUGUUUGUAUUUUACACCCACGCUGACAGUUUCUUGUCAUAAAGGUAAAGGACGUCCACCCUGCCUGGCCUCUGUGUGCCAGGCUCCCUGCGGCUGUGGCUUCCUGUCCCCACAUGUACCCUCAGCCGCGCGGCAUGGCCCCAGAGCCUGCUCCCUCUCUGGAGGGGUUCAAAGGCCCUGAGGUUCCUCCUAGGUUUUUCAGAGUGACAACAUGAAAAGCAAGUGACAACAUGAAAAGCAAGUGACAAGGGCUCCAGACUGGAGAGUGCAGACCGAUGUUCGGGAAUGCCUGAGGGAGGAUGCUCUGCAUUAUUUUGUCUCUUCACUGUGGCUUUAAUAUAUUUGUGAGGACAAAACUGGGGAGCUAGACGGUUUUCUAUCUGAGAUAGGAUGAAGAGUUGGAGGAGAGGUUGAAAACCAACACUGGGAUUAUUAGGACCUCAAGAUGACAAAGAGAGAGGCUCAAGGACCCACUGUGAGAGUUGGCCCUGUGGGGACCUUCUUGAGUGGCUCUGGUUGGGUUUUGCUACCCUACUGCAUUCCUUCCCUCUCGCCGCCUAUAGCUGAGUCAUAUCUGUUGGAGACAGAUGUUUCUUCUUGCUCAGGACACAUCUAGGAAGAAGGAAGUAACGGAAUCCUCAGUCCUAACCAGAACCGUGCGACCUCUGGACCAGGCUCUGUUGGUAGGCUAUGAGAAAAGCAAAUGUAGAGGCAGCUUUGCCUGAGACCUGAAACCUGGGUCACUCACCCCCAGAGACAGGAAGGAGCUCCCCAUGAUCAUUUCUGACCUUUAUGUCCCACAUACUCAAUCCCAGUGGAAAUGACCCUAUUUGAUGUAUUGUUCCUUAAAGCACUGUUGUAUCAAUAAUAAAAUGACUCUCUCUGCACUGCACUGUGUUGUACCUGAUCUUUUGUAGAUUUAUUCAUUGAACGUGCAUUGGAUUUCUCAUCCCUCAUUUCCCUCCAACUUUUCUGAUGCCUCCAGUGUCCACAUUGUGUCCUGUCCCCAUGUCUCCUGU